CUUGACAGCACCAGGAAGUCAGAUCUCCCAGAAGCAGCAUUCUCUCCAUUAGAAGCAUACCAGCUGCAAUUUUCAACUUUGUACCUAUCCUUGCAGGUUUUGGGAAGAUCAUGGACCUGGGCACCCAUUUAGCCUUCGGUUAAAGGUGUUUCUAUUAUCUUGCUGCUUAUGGGACUGUGGCAACAACUCCCUUGAGCUUCAGCAGGCUUCAUGAGCACGUUUAUGUCAUCGCAGAAGCAAGAUGUCACUUCCAGCAGCAACACUGGAACCAAGAUGGAAGUAAUGGUGGUGGGCAAGAAGAGUACCUUCAAAGAAGUAACUAGGUCAGGUGUUCAGAGCUGCUGUUGCCAGUUUGGCUCAAUAACCGUGGUGAUGCCUCCGUGGAUCCUGCUAAUCCCCCAGGACAGCGGUUCUCAAAGAGUGUGGCAGGAGGACUCCCCUGCUCAGCGCCUGAGGGCCC